GGUGAAGUAAUGCAAUGUGGAUUUCCUCUCCUCAAAAUUCUUGCACGACUCCACCUAGAAUAUUAAGCCAAGAAACUUUUCGCUCCUCCUUUAUCGCCGGCUCCAAUAGUGGCACCAGUGCUGCAAGGAUGUGGUGGAUUUCUCGCUCUCUCUUCGGUGGUCCUCUUGUGGGGCACCAUCCACCCCCUCCAAAACUUAGAUUUACCAACAAUACGAGUACUAUUACUGCUAAAUAUUUUGAAAUAGAAAACAACAAAGAAGAGGAGAGGAGAGAGGCCUAAAAAAACACUGAGAA
rnacentral:lncRNA from 1 species